rnacentral:rRNA from 1 species
AUUGAACGCUGGCGGCAGGCCUAACACAUGCAAGUCGAGCGCGCGGCGGACGGGUGAGUAAUGUCUGGGAAACAGCCUGAUGGAGGGGGAUAACUACUGGAAACGGUAGCUAAUAUCGCAUAUCAUCAGAGGUGCCCAGAUGGGAAUAGCUAGUCGGUGGGGUAACGGCUCACCUAGGCGACGAUACCUAGCUGGUCUGAGAGGAUGACCAGCCACACUGGAACUGAGACACGGUCCAGACUCCUACGGUGGGCAGCAGUGGGGAAUAUUGCACAAUGGGCGCAAGCCUGAUGCAGCCAUGCCGCGUGUGUGAAGAAGGCCUUCGGGUUGUAAAGCACUUUCAGCGGGGAGGCGUUACCCGCAGAAGAAGCACCGGCUAACUCCGUGCCAGCCGCCGCGGUAAUAC